rnacentral:rRNA from 1 species
AUUGAACGCUGGCGGCAUGCCUUACGCAUGCAAGUCGAACGGCAGCAUAGGAGCUUGCUCCUGAUGGCGAGUGGCGAACGGGUGAGUAAUAUAUCGGAACGUGCCCUAGAGUGGGGGAUAACUAGUCGAAAGACUAGCUAAUACCGCAUACGAUCUACGGAUGAAAGUGGGGGAUCGCAAGACCUCAUGCUCCUGGAGCGGCCGAUAUCUGAUUAGCUAGUUGGUGGGGUAAAAGCCUACCAAGGCAACGAUCAGUAGCUGGUCUGAGAGGACGACCAGCCACACUGGGACUGAGACACGGCCCAGACUCCUACGGGAGGCAGCAGUGGGGAAUUUUGGACAAUGGGGGCAACCCUGAUCCAGCAAUGCCGCGUGAGUGAAGAAGGCCUUCGGGUUGUAAAGCUCUUUUGUCAGGGAAGAAACGGUAGUAGCUAAUAUCUAUUACUAAUGACGGUACCUGAAGAAUAAGCACCGGCUAACUACGUGCCAGCAGCCGCGGUAACAC